AGAGAGAAAGUGUUAUGGAAGAAAGAUAGCACUAGUUGCUGCAGUCUGGACAGCACAACCCAGCUAUGAACGCAGAAACCUGGAGGAGGUCAACCAGCAACACAGCUUCUACUACAACACAUCGCAUUGGAAAAUGAGAUUUCUACAUGGGAACUGCAACUGGGGUCAAGCAUACAAGCCAACCUCUCGAGAAAGACAGCAGAAGGAAAAGAAGUGCAACAGUGUACGAGACCGAAGCACAGAGUAAAGAUCUGGAUAUGGAAGCACAGCUGUGAGAAGGCAAGGUGAGGUCUCACCUUGACUGGGGAUGGAGAUGCCAACUUCAGAUGGGGUCAGGACGACAGCAUAUCCACACAAGUGGUAGCCAACGGCAUGCGAUUACAUACAAUUCUUUCCCCGCCACCUUCUCUACAAGUCUGAAAUACAGCCACAAAUCUCACCUGAUUUAUUUACUCCUAAGCUUUGUUUUAAGCCUGGUGAUUGCUCAAGAUUUGUUUUCAGCACCUGGGAUAUGUCACAGUUUUUCCCCCAAAAGCUGCCAGAAGACGAAGCGGUCAUUUUUUCAGUAGUAGAUCAGUCCUUCACUCAGACAAGUUUAGAAAGGGCUUGUUUACGACAGGAAAAAUCACAGGCGUGGUUGUCAGGCAACAAUUAAUUCCUUGCAUCGGGGAGCAGUUAUCCCCCAAUAAAUCAAUUCUAAUCUGGAACUAACUGCUCACACACGAAUCCACUCCCGGACACCCACAUAUAAUAGCUGAUGUGGCUCCACUGCGGCCAAACCCUGCGCAUUCUUAAAUCUGUCAGGAAAACUCAGCAUUUGACAGCUGAUUCAUAUGGAAUUUUCUAGGCUGAUGAAAACUAGAAGGCUGUUAAGGCUCAAAGAAUUAUCAAGAAUCGCUUCUUUUAUCAUACUAAUGCAGCUCAGCAGCAUUUUUUCAAGUCCCUCCCCAGCUCUGUUAGACUCAGUGCUCUGUGAGGAGGCUUACAGGAGACAUCCCCAAAACAUCUGCCGAGCACACACUUCCUCCACACUACUGGUCUUGAUGAAAGCAACACAAAAUCAUACAUGCGAGUACUUAAAAGAUGGGGAUUAUGCACUGUAAACACCUUUUUCAAAGCCUGCAGUAUUCAUCCCCUGUCCUGUCUAAAUGCUCCUCUGACUAAAUGCACGGUCAGGGCUUUGUAGGACACCACAAGUAAGAAAAGCAGCCGCUGUAAACCAGAAGUCCUUAAUCUCAGUGUUCCCACACUGGUAGCUUGUGAGGAUCGGGCAGGCCUCCAGAAAAGAUGGUUAUGUUUUAACGGCACUCAGAGAGGCAGAAAAAUUAUUUCAGACAGCUAAGCCGAGAAAUGCGUUCAAGGAAGAGCUUUCACGUUUACUGGCCAUGACCUGAACCUGAUGUAAUCCACCUUGCUCAGAUUUGACUCGUUUCCCACAGCCAGCCUUGUUUGUGUAACACACUGUUCUGCAACAUGCAGCAAAAACUAUUUGCACGCUACUCUAAAGUACGAUUUAAUAUUUGCUUAAAGCUUUCACUUUAUUGUCUGGGCAAAGGCAGCCUCUACCACCGAAGUUAAUAGCUAACCCACACCUUCUUUUGCUACCCUGACCUCCAAUGCCAGCACAGCAUCCAGAACCAAGAGCAGGAGUCAGAAACCAGCCCUGCCUAACUUCUCACUGAGCACCAAAACCAGCCCUCUCGUGGAAGCAGUUUACCCCUCACUUCCAAGGGAAGGGAUGACUCCCAAACGCCUGGCUAAGGUGGUUCAAUUAUUAAAAGAGAAAUAUAUGCUAUUUUGGAUUAGUAAAACACACUUCUGCCACUUACUU